rnacentral:rRNA from 1 species
CAGCCGCCGCGGUAAAACGGAGGGGGCCAGCGUUGUUCGGAAUUACUGGGCGUAAAGCGCACGUAGGCGGCUUGGUAAGUUAGAGGUGAAAGCUUGGAGCUCAACUCCAGAAUUGCCUUUAAGACUGCCGAGCUAGCAGGUGAGAGAGGUAAGUGGAAUUCCGAGUGUAGAGGUGAAAUUCGUAGAUAUUCGGAAGAACACCAGUGGCGAAGGCGGCUUACUGGCUCAUACUGGACGCUGAGGUGCGAAAGCGUGGGGAGCAAACAGGAUUAGAUACCCCCGUAGUCCCUGUCUCUUAUAA